rnacentral:tRNA from 1 species
GGGGAUGUAGCUCAGUCUGGGAGAGCGCUGCCUUCGCAUGGCAGAGGUCGGGGGUUCGAUUCCCCUCAUCUCCA